UACGUAGGGCGCAAGCGUUGUCCGGAAUUAUUGGGCGGAAAGAGCUCGUAGGCGGCUUGUCACGUCGGGUGUGAAAGCCCGGGGCUUAACCCCGGGUCUGCAUUCGAUACGGGCUAGCUAGAGUGUGGUAGGGGAGAUCGGAAUUCCUGGUGUAGCGGUGAAAUGCGCAGAUAUCAGGAGGAACACCGGUGGCGAAGGCGGAUCUCUGGGCCAUUACUGACGCUGAGGAGCGAAAGCGUGGGGAGCGAACAGG
rnacentral:rRNA from 1 species